UCUUGUGAUAUCCACCCAUACCAAAGAAAGAGUAAACAAGUGAGUUUGCCUUGAGAGGUCCGCCCAUUUGGAAAAAAAAUGAAGAGGAAAUGGCUUUGUGAAGUUUCCACUCGAGAGGAAAGGAGAAGUUGAGAAGAAAGAAAGAAAAAGAAUCGGCUUGAAAGAAAGAAGAAAAGAAAAAGAAAGAAAGGAGAAAUGAGAAGGGAGAAAGAAGGAAAGCUAAAAGGCAGGCUCGACUUUGGAGGAGUUGGAGAAAAGCUUAGAGGUUUUCCUCCUCAUACAUGCCAUUGUUGGAGCUUAAAGAGACCUUAGUGGUUCGGGUUAGAGAUCCCAAGCAAGAAUUUUCAAGCAUUCAAGAACCAGAUGCAUGCAUGUAGGUGGAUCUUGGAAUGCAUGGUGAUUUUGAACUAGAUAAGCAAUGGGUAAGUGUUUUAGUCUUGAAAUCACAAGUAGACAAAGGAAAUGAGAUGUGUAUUAAUUGUCUAUACUUGUGGCAACAAUAAUGACCAAAGAUGUGAGGAAAUGGUGAACUAUAUGUGGAAUUCAAGCUAAAAUCGAGAGGUAAGCAUGCAAUGUGACUACAUUGUGUUGUGUUGACUUUGGUUGGUUGAAAGUAUGUGGAUUGUAUGUUAAAUGAUUAUGCAUAAUGUGGAUGAAAACUAUGAAAUUAGGUUAAGGAUUUAUUGAUUGAUAUGCUGCCCAUUUUCAAGUAUAAUUAAGUGUAUUGGGUUUGAAUGGUUGCUAGGAAGUGUAUAGGUAAGGAAAAUGUACUGUGGUGGCAUGCCGGAGGAGGUAACAGGUGAUCGGCAAGUAGAAUUAGCUAGAUACGCACCCAAAUCGAUAGUGAUGUAGUGUCCCGCUAUUGUGAAGUGAGUAAGGGGUGUUCGUUUUAAAAUUCCCAUAACUAUAUAUCGAUAUACGUGCUGGUUUACUUUAAAUGCAAUUUGUGGACAGCAUGAGUUGGUAGACUGUUAGGCUUGUGAAUGCCAUGCUUUGAGAAAGGUUUUGUAUAUAUGUAUAUAUUAACUACAUAUGUAAAGGGUUUUGAAACCAGGAAACAAGCGUUUUACUACAAUUUAUGUCAAAAUGUACCUUAUGGUUUGUGUGAUGUGCAUUCAUGAAUAAAUCACAUAUUCACCAUGCUAAUUGAUAUUUUAACCUCAUGCAAAGGCUUUAUAUUAUAAAGUCUUAUAAAGGGGUUUUAUCAUGUUAUCUGUUGAAUAUUUUGGAAGUGGUUUUGAAAUGAGCUUUUGAGAACCCAACUUGAUUUUUAAAUGGUUUUAUCAAACCGGGAGAUUUGAGAGUAGGUCGAAUGUCACAUCGAGAUAAUAUGACACUUGUGCACAAGUUAGAUCUAGAUAAAGAACCUUUGGAUCGCGAAUAGCCUGCUAGAUGUGGCUGGGGCCAUGGUCUGCGAUGUAUAUAUGUGGCUAGGCCACAAGUUAUUAUACGUGGUUACGACCACCUGAUUUCUUCGAUGUCGGCCAAUAUCGUUGAGACUACCAUGGUUGUGGGAAUCCAGUGGAGGAGAACCUCCCAGAUUGUUAUUACGUGGAAGCGGGUCCAUGAGUGAUUUACUAUGAUUACCUACUCAAGAGUGAUGUCUCUUUGGGGUUUUUUUUUUUAACACGAAUUCUUUCGCAUGGUGAGAAUGACAAGUUGUUUCGUAGCUUCGUUGUUUAUACAGUGAUUUUGUUUUUAAACUCUUCGCGGACGAGAUGAUUUACGAACUUGUGUAUAAGUUUUAGUAAUGUUUGAUUCUACGAGAGCAUGCAUGAUUA